CAGUCGAACGAAGCGAUUUAGCGGAAGUUUUCGGAUGGAAGCUAGAUUGACUGACUUGCGGACGGGUGAGUAACGCGUGGGUAACCUGCCUCACACUGGGGGACAACAGUUAGAAAUGACUGCUAAUACCGCAUAAGCGCACAGGACCGCAUGGUCCGGUGUGAAAAACUCCGGUGGUGUGAGAUGGACCCGCGUUUGAUUAGCUAGUUGGUGGGGUAACGGCCUACCAAGGCGACGAUCAAUAGCCGACCUGAGAGGGUGACCGGCCACAUUGGGACUGAGACACGGCCCAAACUCCUACGGGAGGCAGCAGUGGGGAAUAUUGCACAAUGGGGGAAACCCUGAUGCAGCGACGCCGCGUGAGUGAAGAAGUAUUUCGGUAUGUAAAGCUCUAUCAGCAGGGAAGAAAAUGACGGUACCUGACUAAGAAGCCCCGGCUAACUACGUGCCAGCAGCCGCGGUAAUACGUAGGGGGCAAGCGUUAUCCGGAUUUACUGGGUGUAAAGGGAGCGUAGACGGUAAAGCAAGUCUGAAGUGAAAGCCCGGGGCUCAACCCCGGGACUGCUUUGGAAACUGUUUAACUAGAGUGCUGGAGAGGUAAGCGGAAUUCCUAGUGUAGCGGUGAAAUGCGUAGAUAUUAGGAGGAACACCAGUGGCGAAGGCGGCUUACUGGACAGUAACUGACGUUGAGGCUCGAAAGCGUGGGGAGCAAACAGGAUUAGAUACCCUGGUAGUCCACGCCGUANACGAUGACUACUAGGUGUCGGGCANCAAAGCUGUUCGGUGCCGCAGCAAACGCAAUAAGUAGUCCACCUGGGGAGUACGUUCG
rnacentral:rRNA from 1 species